CAGUAGCCACGGGAAUACGAAGGGUGCAAGCGUUAAUCGGAAUUACUGGGCGUAAAGCGCGCGUAGGUGGUUUGGUAAGAUGGAUGUGAAAUCCCCGGGCUCAACCUGGGAACUGCAUCCAUAACUGCCUGACUAGAGUACGGUAGAGGGUGGUGGAAUUUCCUGUGUAGCGGUGAAAUGCGUAGAUAUAGGAAGGAACACCAGUGGCGAAGGCGACCACCUGGACUGAUACUGACACUGAGGUGCGAAAGCGUGGGGAGCAAACAGGAUUAGAUACCCCGGUAGUCCCUGUCUCUUAUAC
rnacentral:rRNA from 1 species